rnacentral:tRNA from 1 species
AUGGGGCGUUAGCUCAGCUGGGAGAGCACCUGCUUUGCAAGCAGGGGGUCAUCGGUUCGAUCCCGAUACGCUCCACCAAGGAUUUAAGUUUGAAAGUUAAGCAACUUUUGUUGUUUUGCUGUCCAACUUGGACAUUGUUCAGUCUUCGGACUGACUUGACAUCGUAAAGAGAGAUACAAACAUCAGAAUUACUGAUGCACCGCGUAAGGUGUAUCGUGAUGUUGUUUGGCAUCGUGUGAGAGUGGUAGGAGCAAUCUUAUCUUUUGAUUGGGGUGUCAUAUAUAGCAACAGUUCACAAAGUAAUUUUGUUCCAAGUUAAGUACAAUUAUACCUGAGUAAAGCCGCAAGGUUUUGCUCAUCGUCGCUGCUCUAUCCGGGCAGUGGCGGCACGCAUGUUGCCCCCUCUUUGAACCAGCGGGGGCCCAUGGGAAUAAUUUUGUAUGACUUUUGGUUCAGAAUUUAGUCAUCUUCGGAUGAUGUUGGCAGGACACGCAAAAGGCCUGUCUUCUUCUGGAUCAAAUCAAGCGCGAAAAGGGCGUUUGGUGAAUGCCUUGGCAGUAAGAGGCGAUGAAGGACGUGAUACUCUGCGAUAAGUUAUGGGGAGCUGAGAAUAAGCUUUGAUCCAUAAAUUUCCGAAUGGGGCAACCCACCUGAUACUUUGUUAUUAAUACUACUUAUUGUAGUGCCGUUUAAGGGUUCGCCCUUGGGUAGCGUUGCAUGCGGUGGGGCAUAAUAAUAGGGUAAACCAGGUAUUUAUAACUUGAAUACAUAGGGUUAUAAAAGCAAACCCGGGGAACUGAAACAUCUAAGUACCCGGAGGAAAGGACAUCAAUUAGAUACUCCCCUAGUAGCGGCGAGCGAACGGGGACCAGCCGAGCCAUGAGUGUGACUAGAAUGUGUUGGAAAGCACAACCAAAGUGGGUGACAGUCCCGUAUAGGAAGCAUGAUUGGACGUAUUAAGUAGGGCGGGACACGUGAAAUCCUGUUCGAAGAUCGGAGGACCACCUCCGAAGGCUAAGUACUCCUUACUGACCGAUAGUGAACCAGUACCGUGAGGGAAAGGUGAAAAGCACCCCGACGAGGGGAGUGAAACAGUUUCUGAAACCGGACGCCUACAAUCAGUUGGAGGGCCCUUGCGGCCUGACAGCGUACCUUUUGUAUAAUGGGUCAUCGACUUAGUGUAUCUAGCAAGCUUAAGCCGUUAGGUGUAGGCGCAGCGAAAGCGAGUCUUAAUAGGGCGAUUGAGUUAGAUGCAUUAGACCCGAAACCGAGUGAUCUAGGCAUGACCAGGUUGAAGGUUGGGUAACACCAACUGGAGGACCGAACCCACAUCUGUUGAAAAAGAUCGGGAUGAGUUGUGCCUAGGGGUGAAAGGCCAAUCAAACUCGGAGAUAGCUGGUUCUCCGCGAAAUCUAUUUAGGUAGAGCGUCAUCCGAAUACCCCGGGGGGUAGAGCACUGGAUGGGUAAUGGGGCCCCACAGGCUUACUGAUCCUAACCAAACUCCGAAUACCCGGGAGUAAUAGAUGGCAGACACACUGCGGGUGCUAACGCCCGUAGUGAAAAGGGAAACAACCCUGACCGACAGUUAAGGCCCCUAAUUCAUGGCUAAGUGGGAAAGCAGGUGGGACGACCAAAACAACCAGGAAGUUGGCUUAGAAGCAGCCAUCUUUUAAAGAUAGCGUAACAGCUCACUGGUCUAAUUAAGUUGUCCUGCGGCGAAGAUGUAACGGGGCUCAAGCCAUGAGCCGAAACUUCGGAUGCAUUUAAUGCAUGGUAGCGGAGCGUAGUGUGACAUAGUUCCAUGCGUCCUUCGUUUUAUAGCGGACUGCCCAGGCUUUCGAGCCUGUGUGGAGGCGCGUAAAAUACUGGACGCAAGGAGCUUUCUGUGAAGCCGGCCUGUGAGGGAUCCGGUGGAGAGAUCACUAGUGAGAAUGAUGACAUGAGUAACGACAAAGGGGGUGAGAGACCCCCUCGCCGAAAAUCCAAGGGUUCCUGCUUAAAGCUAAUCUGAGCAGGGUAAGCCGGCCCCUAAGCCGAGGGCGAAAGCCGUAGGCGAUGGGAACCAGGUUAAUAUUCCUGGGCCAGGAGGAAGUGACGGAUCACAAAGAUUGUUGGAUCAGGCGUAGUUGCCCCAGCAGUUCAGUGGUUCCUGGAAAUAGCCCUCCAUCAGACCGUACCCUAAACCGACACAGGUGGAUAGGUAGAGUAUACCAAGGCGCUUGAGAGAACUAUGUUGAAGGAACUCGGCAAAAUACCUCCGUAAGUUCGCGAGAAGGAGGCCCGGUUUCUAGGCAACUGGAAGCUGGGGGCACAAACCAGGGGGUGGCGACUGUUUACUAAAAACACAGGGCUCUGCGAAGUCGCAAGACGACGUAUAGGGUCUGACGCCUGCCCGGUGCCUGAAGGUUAAAAGGAGGGGUGAGAGCUCCGAAUUGAAGCCCAGGUAAACGGCGGCCGUAACUAUAACGGUCCUAAGGUAGCGAAAUUCCUUGUCGGGUAAGUUCCGACCUGCACGAAUGGCGUAACGACUUCCCCGCUGUCUCCAACAUAGACUCAGUGAAAUUGAAUUGCCUGUCAAGAUGCAGGCUUCCCGCGGUUAGACGGAAAGACCCCGUGCACCUUUACUACAACUUUACACUGAUAACAGGCACAACAUGUGCAGAAUAGGUGGUAGGCUUUGAAGCAGAAACGCCAGUUUUUGUGGAGCCUCCUUUGAGAUACCA